rnacentral:lncRNA from 1 species
CACCACUGCACUCCAGCCUGGCAAACAGAGGGAGACUCUGUCUCAAAAGAAAAAAAGAAAAAGAAAGUUGAGGCUUCCUGAAGCUACACACCACACACCCCCAUCCACCACCCAGCGAGUGGUAGAGUCCUGCAGCUCAGCAGACCACCUCCUCAACAAAACCUGUGUUUGCUUUCUUCUGGCACAGAGGGACUGAAUCAAGGUCAGGUUCAGACCCAGCCUCUGAGGAGGGACCUGAACUGGCCUGGGGAGCUACACCUUGGGGGCUUUCUCAGGAUCCAGCAGAGAAGCCUCCAGCACCAGCCUGGGGAUGGAGCUGCAGCGACGAGGACCGGGAGGCUGGAAUACCCGCCUCACUCCCAGCCCGGCUCAGCCCAGCCCAGAAAGGGCCCAGCCCUGUGAUUGGUCCUUGGGUCCCUGUUGCCAGGAAUUGAGUCCAAGAAAAUGAGAAGGAAGGGAGUGCGUAGGUCCAGUGAGGACGGAGGUGAAAUUUAUAUCUCUGCCAGAGCCUGGGUGCCUGCACCGCCAUGGACACCACCAGGGCACUGGGGACGCUGGGUGCACUGGAGCCGGAGACCCCUCUUCCUGGCCCUGGCUGUCCUGGUCGCCACAGUCCUGUGGGCUGUGAUCCUGAGUAUCCUAUUGUCCAAGGCCUCCACGGAGCGCGCGGCGCUGCUCGGCUGCCAGGACCUGCUGAGGACAAACGGUGCUUGCAGAGCGGGACGCCUGGGCCCCCGGGCCGUGCGGGGCGGGAGCGUCUGA